GCCCGGGUGGCGAAAUUGGUAGACGCAGGGGAUUCAAAAUCCCCCGGUGGCGACACCGUGUCGGUUCGAGUCCGACCCCGGGCA
rnacentral:tRNA from 2 species